UGGCGAUGAUGACAAAUUUCAUUUCUCGAUCCUGAAUAUGUGUAUUUUGACAAUAUACAUGGACAAGAAGCAAAGCAUACGUACUUUGCUCUUUGAUGACUGUAUUUGUGCGUGUCUGAGCCUU